CCUACGGGAGGCAGCAGUGGGGAAUAUUGGGCAAUGGGCGCAAGCCUGACCCAGCAACGCCGCGUGAAGGAAGAAGGCUUUCGGGUUGUAAAACUCUUUUGUCAGGGACGAAGCAAGUGACGGUACCUGACGAAUAAGCCACGGCUAACUACGUGCCAGCAGCCGCGGUAAUACGUAGGUGGCAAGCGUUAUCCGGAUUUAUUGGGUGUAAAGGGCGUGUAGGCGGGAAUGCAAGUCAGAUGUGAAAACUAUGGGCUCAACCCAUAUCCUGCAUUUGAAACUGUAUUUCUUGAGUGCUGGAGAGGCGAUCGGAAUUCCGUGUGUAGCGGUGAAAUGCGUAGAUAUACGGAGGAACACCAGUGGCGAAGGCGGAUUGCUGGACAGUAACUGACGCUGAGGCGCGAAAGCGUGGGGAGCAAACAGGAUUAGAUACCCGAGUAGUC
rnacentral:rRNA from 1 species